UACGUAGGGUGCGAGCGUUGUCCGGAAUUAUUGGGCGUAAAGGGCUCGUAGGCGGUUUGUCGCGUCGGGAGUGAAAUCCACUGGCUUAACUGGUGGCUUGCUUUCGAUACGGGCAGACUGGAGGUAUGCAGGGGAGAACGGAAUUCCUGGUGUAGCGGUGAAAUGCGCAGAUAUCAGGAGGAACACCGGUGGCGAAGGCGGUUCUCUGGGCAUUAACUGACGCUGAGGAGCGAAAGCAUGGGGAGCGAACAGG
rnacentral:rRNA from 1 species